rnacentral:misc_RNA from 1 species
GAUGAAGAACGCAGCAAAAUGCGAUAAGUAAUGUGAAUUGCAGAAUUCAGUGAAUCAUCGAAUCUUUGAACGCACAUUGCGCCCGCCAGUAUUCUGGCGGGCAUGCCUGUUCGAGCGUCAUUUCAACCCUCAAGCACAGCUUGGUGUUGGGACUCGCGUUAAUUCGCGUUCCCCAAAUUGAUUGGCGGUCACGUCGAGCUUCCAUAGCGUAGUAGUAAAACCCUCGUUACUGGUAAUCGUCGCGGCCACGCCGUUAUACCCCAACUUCUGAAUGUUGACCUCGGAUCAGGUAGGAAUACCCGCUGAACUUAAGCAUAUCAAUAAGCGGAGGA